GCCUCCCGUGCCUACUGAGCUGAAACACAGUUGGUUUGUGUACACUGGCUCAGUUCAGCAGGAACAGGG
ncrna:Homo sapiens (human) microRNA hsa-mir-24 precursor (hsa-mir-24-2)